rnacentral:rRNA from 1 species
AACCUGCCCAAGAGAUCGGGAUAACACCUGGAAACAGAUGCUAAUACCGGAUAACAACAGAUGGUGCCUAUCAACUGUUUAAAAGAUGGUUCUGCUAUCACUCUUGGAUGGACCUGCGGUGCAUUAGAUAGUUGGUAGGGUAACGGCCUGCCAAGGCGAUGAUGCAUAGCCGAGUUGAGAGACUGAUCGGCCACAUUGGGACUGAGACACGGCCCAAACUCCUACGGGAGGCAGCAGGU